GGCCACAUCUGGUUGAAACACCGAUUCUCAUACGAUCACCGAAUUUAAGCAACGCCGAACCUGGUCAGUACGUGGAUGAGUGACCGCUUGGGGGUACCAGGUGCUGUAAG